rnacentral:rRNA from 1 species
AAUGAACGCUGGCGGCGUGCCUAACACAUGCAAGUCGAGCGAGAAAGCCCUUCGGGGUGAGUAAAGCGGCGGACGGUUGAGUAACACGUGAGAAUCUGCCCUUUAGUGAAGAAUACCUCGGAGAAAUCCGAGUUAAUACUGCAUAAGUCCCUUCGGGGAGAAAGGUGGCCUAUUUGCUGCCGCUAAAGGAUGAGCUUGCGGGCUAUCAGCUAGUUGGUGAGGUAAAGGCUCACCAAGGCUAUGACGGCUAGCCGGCCUGAGAGGGUGUUCGGCCAGACUGGAACUUAGACACGGUCCAGACUCCUACGGGAGGCAGCAGUGAGGAAUAUUGCGCAAUGGGCGAAAGCCUGACGCAGCGACGCCGCGUGGGGGAUGAAGGUCUUCGGAUUGUAAACUCCUGUUAAGUGGGAAGAAAUGCCUGUUGUUAAUACCAACAGGAGAUGACGGUACCAUUAUAGAAAGCACCGGCUAACUACGUGCCAGCAGCCGCCGUAAGAC